rnacentral:siRNA from 1 species
GUAAUUACAUAUGUAUGCCAUUA